UUAAUGUUUAAAUUGAAGGGACCUUUCUGUGUGGAGUUUUCAUGUUCUUCCCAUGUUUGCGUGGGCUCUCUCCGGGUACGCCGGCUUCCUCCCACCAUCCAAAGACAAACACUGACAGGUUAAUUCACCCUAGGUGUGAAUGUGAGAGUGAUUGGUUGUUCGUCUCUAUAUGUCAGCUCUGUAAUGAGCUGGCAACUGGUCCAGGGUGAACCCACCCUUCACCUAUAGGUAGCUGGGAUAGGCUCCACAGCGCCUCCCAUGACCCUAGUGAGG